rnacentral:misc_RNA from 1 species
AAGUCGUAACAAGGUUUCCGUAGGUGAACCUGCGGAAGGAUCAUUAAAAAGGAUACCGGAGUCGUCGGUAUACCCCACCCGUGUCUAUAUACUCUUGUUGCUUUGGCAGGCCGUGGCCUCCACCGUGGGCUCUGCCUGCGUGUGCCUGCCAGAGGACCAAACUCUGAAUUUUAGUGAUGUCUGAGUACUAUAUAAUAGUUAAAACUUUCAACAACGGAUCUCUUGGUUCUG